GAAAGGGAACCUGAACACAGGUGCUGCAUGGCUGUCGUCAGCUCGUGUCGUGAGAUGUUGGGUUAAGUCCCGCAACGAGCGCAACCCUUAUCAUUAGUUGCUACGCAAGGGCACUCUAAUGAGACUGCCGGUGACAAACCGGAGGAAGGUGGGGAUGACGUCAAGUCCUCAUGGCCCUUAUGCGUAGGGCUUCACACGUCAUACAAUGGUCGGUACAGAGGGUUGCCAACCCGCGAGGGGGAGCCAAUCCCACAAAGCCGAUCGUAGUCCGGAUUGCAGUCUGCAACUCGACUGCAUGAAGUCGGAAUCGCUAGUAAUCGCGGAUCAGCAUGUCGCGGUGAAUACGUUCCCGGGUCUU
rnacentral:rRNA from 1 species